GUGGCCUUGUGUAAAAAGGAUCCGACGCUGCCUGAGCAAACAGGAAGAAGCGCUGCCCUGUCUUUAUUCCAUUUGCCCCCCAGAGUCUGCAGACCUUCCAGUUAAAGGCACAGAGACCACAGACACACCUUCACAAACCACCAACAGUUAAGCUCCCAGACCUCAUUACUGUUUUUCAGAUGGAGACUUUAUGUAACAGCAGGCCGGAGGGAGAAUAUGUGGAAUCAUGACGUCUGCAUGUCUGUUAUGUGAAGAUUCCCACAUGGUCAGCUGAUUGUUUGCACAACUCGAAGAUUGUGCAAAACAUUUUGGUUCCUAUAUUAAUUUUAAAGCCACAGUGACAGUCACGGACACUGAGGGUGGAGAACAUAAGUGAGGAGGGGUCAAGUUUAAUGUCUGAAGUGAAAAAAAAUGAAAAUCUUUCCACGAUAUUG